UACGUAGGCAGCGAGCGUUGUUCGGAGUUACUGGGCGUAAAGGGUGUGUAGGCGGUUUUCUAAGUUUGGUGUGAAAUCUCCCGGCUCAACCGGGAGGGUGCGCCGAAAACUGGGAGACUAGAGUGCGGGAUGGGAGAGUAGAAUUCCUGGUGUAGCGGUGAAAUGCGUAGAUAUUGGGAGGAACACCAGUGGCGAAGGCGGCUCACUGGACCGGUACUGACGCUGAGGCGCGAAAGCGUGGGGAGCAACGGGG
rnacentral:rRNA from 1 species